rnacentral:lncRNA from 1 species
CACCAGUGCCCAUUUCAAGGUAUUCCCAACAUUGCCUGGGAAAAAGGAACCCGGAUACGCUUCCCUGUGGAUGCAGUGAUCACGGCAUUCAGGCUCAGAAUGCCACAGGCCUAUCCCACUGGAAGCUGCCGAGGUGCCUCCUGCCACUCAGGACGCCCGGCACAGCAGCAGGAUCAAGGGACCAGCAGGGAAGAGGCUGCAGUGAUUUGGGGGAACAGCCCGAAAAUCACCUGGAGCCUGGUGGCAGAAGAACUUCAGCGAGAGAGGGGCUAUCCCUGCUGCCUUGUGGCUGCAGAAGGAGAGAGAAGGAGCCUCUCCUAAAAAGGGUUUCAUGAAAGCCCUGAGGCGAGAUACUCACUUCAGAGGGUUCAGGACAAGGAC